AUUGAACGCUGGCGGCAGGCCUAACACAUGCAAGUCGAGCGAGCAGCGGACGGGUGAGUAAUGUCUGGGACACUGCCUGAUGGAUGGGGAUAACUACUGGAAACGGUAGCUAAUCCCGCAUACCCUCCGAUGUGCCCAGAUGGGAUUAGCUAGUGGGUGUGGUAACGGCUCACCUAGGCGAGUAUCCCUAGCGGGUCUGAGAGGAUGACCAGCCACAAUGGAACGGAGAAACGGUCCAGACUCCUACGGGAGGCAGCAGUGGGGAAUAUUGCACAAUGGGCGAAAGCCUGAUGCAGCCAUGCCGCGUGUGUGAAGAAGGCUUUCGGGUUGUAAAGCACUGUCAGCGGGGAGGCGUUACCCGAAGAGGAAGCACCGGCUAACUCCGUGCCAGCCGCCGCGGUAAUAC
rnacentral:rRNA from 1 species